rnacentral:rRNA from 1 species
GACGAACGCUGGCGGCGUGCUUAACACAUGCCAGUCGAACGCUGAAGCCCAGCUUUUGUUGGGUGGAUGAGUGGCGAACGGGUGAGUAACACGUGAGUAACCUGCCCCCUUCUUUGGGAUAACGCCCGGAAACGGGUGCUAAUACUGGAUAUUCACUGGUCUUCGCAUGGGGGUUGGUGGAAAGGGUUUUUCUGGUGGGGGAUGGGCUCGCGGCCUAUCUGCUUGUUGGUGGGGUGAUGGCCUACCAAGGCUUUGACGGGUAGCCGGCCUGAGAGGGUGACCGGUCACAUUGGGACUGAGAUACGGCCCAGACUCCUACGGGAGGCAGCAGUGGGGAAUAUUGCACAAUGGGCGCAAGCCUGAUGCAGCGACGCCGCGUGAGGGAUGGAGGCCUUCGGGUUGUGAACCUCUUUCGCUCAUGGUCAAGCCGCAACAAUGGUUGUGGUGAGGGUAGUGGGUAAAGAAGCGCCGGCUAACUACGUG